rnacentral:lncRNA from 1 species
CUUCAUCGCGGCCGCUGCUACUCCGUUGCUAAAUCCUGCCACCGCCGCGCCUGCUGCUGUCUCUAUUUCCCGCCGCUGCUGCGCCUGCCGUUGAGGCUACUGCAUCUCCCAACCCCACCGCCGUCGCUGCUGGUGCUGCUGCUGUGUUGCUAAUUCCCGCCGCCUCCACGCCUGCCGUUUAGGCUACUGCACCUCCCAGCCCCACCUUCAUCGCGGCCGCUGCUACUCCGCUGCUAAUUCCUGCCGCCGCCGCGCCUGCUGCUGUCUCUAUUUCCCGCCGCUGCCGCGUCUGAUGUUUAGGCUACUGCACCUCCCAGCCCCACCUUCGUCGCUGCCGCUGCUACUCCAUUGCUAAUUCCUGCCACCGCCGCGCCUGCUGCUGUCUCUAUUUCCCGCCGCUGCUGCGCCUGCCGUUUAGGCUACUGCACCUCCCAGCCCCACCUUCGUCGCGGCCGCUGCUACUCCGUUGCUAAUUCCUGCCACCGCCGCGCCUGCUGCUGUCUCUAUUUCCCCCCGCCUCCACGCCUGCCGUUUAGGCUACUGCACCUCCCAGCCCCACCUUCAUCGCGGCCGCUGCUACUCCGCUGCUAAUUCCUGCCGCCGCCGCGCCUGCUGCUGUCUCUAUUUCCCGCCGCUGCCGCGUCUGAUGUUUAGGCUACUGCACCUCCCAGCCCCACCUUCGUCGCUGCCGCUGCUACUCCAUUGCUAAUUCCUGCCACCGCCGCGCCUGCUGCUGUCUCUAUUUCCCGCCGCUGCUGCGCCUGCCGUUUAGGCUACUGCACCUCCCAGCCCCACCUUCGUCGCGGCCGCUGCUACUCCGUUGCUAAUUCCUGCCACCGCCGCGCCUGCUGCUGUCUCUAUUUCCCGCCGCUGCUGCGCCUGCCGUUUAGGCUACUGCACCUCCCAGCCCCACCUUCAUCGCGGCCGCUGCUACUCCGCUGCUAAUUCCUGCCGCCGCCACGCCUGCUGCUGUUGCUAUUUCCCCCCCCCGCCGUGCCUGCUGUUGAGACUAAUGGACCUCCCAGCCCCACCUUCGUUGCUGCCGCUGCUACUCCGUUGCUAAUUCCCGCCGCCGCCGCGCCUGCUGCUGUUGCUAUUUCCCACCACCACCGUGCCUGAUGUUCAGACUAAUGCACCUCCCAGC